AAAGUUUUAGUAUAAAGUUUUAGUAUGGCCCAUUGUCAAUGGGCGGGUUAUAAACUUUG
rnacentral:tRNA from 1 species